GACGAACGCUGGCGGCGUGCUUAACACAUGCCAGUCGAACGGAAAGGCCCUGCUUUUGUGGGGUGCUCGAGUGGCGAACGGGUGAGUAACACGUGAGUAACCUGCCCUUGACUUUGGGAUAACUUCAGGAAACUGGGGCUAAUACCGGAUAGGAGCUCCUGCUGCAUGGUGGGGGUUGGAAAGUUUCGGCGGUUGGGGAUGGAACCGCGGCUUAUCAGCUUGUUGGUGGGGUAGUGGCUUACCAAGGCUUUGACGGGUAGCCGGCCUGAGAGGGUGACCGGCCACAUUGGGACUGAGAUACGGCCCAGACUCCUACGGGAGGCAGCAGUGGGGAAUAUUGCACAAUGGGCGGAAGCCUGAUGCAGCAACGCCGCGUGCGGGAUGACGGCCUUCGGGUUGUAAACCGCUUUCGCCUGUGACGAAGCGUGAGUGACGGUAAUGGGUAAAGAAGCACCGGCUAACUACGUG
rnacentral:rRNA from 1 species